ACAGCAGUCGCCACGGGAAUACGUAGGGCGCAAGCGUUGUCCGGAAUUAUUGGGCGUAAAGAGCUCGUAGGCGGUCUGUCGCGUCUGGUGUGAAAUCCCGAGGCUCAACCUCGGGCUUGCAUCGGGUACGGGCAGACUAGAGUGCGGUAGGGGAGACUGGAAUUCCUGGUGUAGCGGUGGAAUGCGCAGAUAUCAGGAGGAACACCGAUGGCGAAGGCAGGUCUCUGGGCCGCAACUGACGCUGAGGAGCGAAAGCAUGGGGAGCGAACAGGAUUAGAUACCCGCGUAGUCCCUGUCUCUUAUAC
rnacentral:rRNA from 1 species